rnacentral:tRNA from 1 species
GGAGAGAUGGUAGAGUGGUCGAUUACAGCGGUCUUGAAAACCGCCGUGCUGAGAGGCACCGGGGGGGUUCGAAUCCCUCUCUCUCCG